rnacentral:rRNA from 1 species
GACUCGUCACACUAUCAUUAACUGAAUCCAUAGGUUAAUGAGGCGAACCGGGGGAACUGAAACAUCUAAGUACCCCGAGGAAAAGAAAUCAACCGAGAUUCCCCCAGUAGCGGCGAGCGAACGGGGAGGAGCCCAGAGCCUGAAUCAGCAUGUGUGUUAGUGGAAGCGUCUGGAAAGGCGCGCGAUACAGGGUGACAGCCCCGUACACAAAAGCGCAUGUGCUGUGAGCUCGAUGAGUAGGGCGGGACACGUGGUAUCCUGUCUGAAUAUGGGGGGACCAUCCUCCAAGGCUAAAUACUCCUGACUGACCGAUAGUGAACCAGUACCGUGAGGGAAAGGCGAAAAGAACCCCGGCGAGGGGAGUGAAAAAGAACCUGAAACCGUGUACGUACAAGCAGUGGGAGCCCCACCACUAAGCCAGUGGUGAACUCCACAUACGCAUCCUUUGCUGAGGAUACGGUUAA